rnacentral:rRNA from 1 species
UGGGGAAUUUUGGACAAUGGGGGCAACCCUGAUCCAGCCAUGCCGCGUGAGUGAAGAAGGCCUUCGGGUUGUAAAGCUCUUUCAGCCGGAAAGAAAUCGCCACUCCUAAUACGAGUGGUGGAUGACGGUACCGGAAGAAGAAGCACCGGCUAACUACGUGCCAGCAGCCGCGGUAAUACGUAGGGUGCGAGCGUUAAUCGGAAUUACUGGGCGUAAAAGCGUGCGCAGGCGGUUUUGUAAGACAGGUGUGAAAUCCCCGGGCUUAACCUGGGAACUGCAUUUGUGACUGCAAGGCUAGAGUGUGGCAGAGGGGGAUAGAAUUCCGCGUGUAGCAGUGAAAUGCGUAGAUAUGCGGAGGAAUACCGAUGGCGAAGGCAGCCCCCUGGGUCAACACUGACGCUCAUGCACGAAAGCGUGGGGAGCAAACAGGAUUAGAUACCCUGGUAGUCCACGCCCUAAACGAUGUCAACUA